UUUUUUUUUUUUUGAGACAGAGUCUCGCUCUGUCACCCAGGCUGGAGUGCAGUGGCGCACACCAGGAACUUUUAUGCAGCUCCAGCUGUUCCCUGGACAGGUAGAUAAGGACUGAGGGCCUGAGGGGUGAGGUAAAGCCCCCUGGCUCAUGAGCCUUGCUCGCUGUACUCGUGGCAAGAGCAAAAGUGGCCAGAGGAAUGGCUCCUCCUCGAAUUUCGGACUUCCUUUUCUGGGCCUUUCCCACCGUUGGUACAAAUUAUAAUCCCCUCCCCUCUGCCCGCCACUACCUCUUUCAUUUGGCACAGGAAGAAAGGAAGUCAUUUCUGGGAAAUGGACCCAGUCGGGCCAGGUUGAGCUGCUGCCAUCUGGUGCCUAUCUUUCCUCAUGCCCUAGGGGCCCUAUUUCAGCCCCCUUUCACCACCUCCAUCUCUUCCUCCCAAGACAAUCACAGUGGGCAGUGUUUACACUUGCACAGGAUUGGGGGGAGAAGAGGACACCUCUAAUUUGCUCCUCUAUUCUAAUUUUCUUUCUCAUUUAAUUAGGCUAAAAAAAAACCCUCACUUUUAACACUCUUACCAACAGCUCCUAAUGAAAGCUGCAGCCACUAAUUACAUAAAUCAUUUAUUGGAGAGCUAUUUUAGAUUCCUCAUUUAAUGAAUGCUGCAGAAUUUAGCUGGUUUCCGAUUCAUCAGAAUGGAGCUUGGCAAAGUCAUGAAGAUAGAGACCCCCCUCCCUGCACACUCUGUUUCGCUGGUGACUGUCCGCCUGUGACCUCUGCUCACUUCACUCUACCCUGCAGGCUCCCCUCCAACUGCCCCUCCAGACACCUCCUCCUCACUCACCUCUGUGGCUUCCACUGUCAUUACCUGUUGGUGACCCCAGAUCUCUAAUGUCUCCUUCCCAGAUCAUCUAUCCACUGCCUACAGGAAUUUCCAGUUGGAAGGCUACAGGAAUGACAUCCUCCUCCCCAGACCUGCUCCUCCGUCCUCCUUAUCGCACAUGACAUUAUUCACUUGCCUGGUUGCUUGUCCAGCAACUGAAGCUCAGAGAGGUUAAAACCCUUGCCCAGAGGCACACAGCUAGUGAGUUACGGUAAAGCGGAGAUUUGGACCCAAGUCUGACUGUUCUCAAAGCCCAUGCUAGUACCAGCAUGCUGUGCCACCUUACUGAUGAGGUGAGCACGUGAGCUCCUUUCCACACCUCAUGCUGUUCCAAGCACUGGCUCUAUAUGAUGUAAUUGAACUGACACACCCCAACUACCCAUUUGUGAUGUGCCAGGCUGUGUUCCAGGUGUUGGGAUCCCA
rnacentral:lncRNA from 1 species